GAUGAACGCUGGCGGCGUGCCUAAUACAUGCAAGUCGAGCGAACGGACGAGAAGCUUGCUUCUCUGAUGUUAGCGGCGGACGGGUGAGUAACACGUGGAUAACCUACCUAUAAGACUGGGAUAACUUCGGGAAACCGUAGCUAAUACCGGAUAAUAUUUUGAACCGCAUGGUUCAAAAGUGAAAGACGGUCUUGCUGUCACUUAUAGAUGGAUCCGCGCUGCAUUAGCUAGUUGGUAAGGUAACGGCUUACCAAGGCAACGAUGCAUAGCCGACCUGAGAGGGGGGCCGCCCACCGUGGACCUGCGACCGGGCCCAGCCCCCUCCGGGGGGCGCCAGGGGGGAUUCUUCCACAAGGGGCAAAGGCCUGACGGCGCAGCGCCGCGGGAGUGAGAGAGGUUUUCGUACCUUAACACUGUUUAAUGGGGAAAAAACAUAGGUGAAAGAAAUUGUGCACAUCUGCCGGUUCCCUAAUAAGAAGCCCCGGCCUACCCACGUC
rnacentral:rRNA from 1 species